CUGCGUUGACGUCAUGGUGGACCUGGUAUCCGGUGGCCCGGUCUGUAUGACCUUUGACCUCGGUGAGACCCUGGCGGGCAAGGCUGGUGUAGUGCUGCACGAAGCGGGUCCGACGCACCAGCAAGUGCAGCAUGAAGCAGGACGUUGGUUCAUGAUGUCAACACUGAUAGGGACCAAAUCAGCCCAGAACCCUCCGCAACCCUAAUCACACACGGCGCUCCCACGGCAUAGGUAGGUGCGUGUCCCUGUCAUCCAUACCCAAAUCCACACCCUUGCUAUAAAUCUUUCCUAUUUUCAUUUUAUGUGCAUCUAUGUUCCUCACAAACCAGGACAAACAGUGGCCUUAGUUAACGUGGCUGAAAAAUACAAAUUGUACAUGAAAUAUUUUGUUUCAGGAAAUACAGCAAAACAAUCCGAUAAAAUCUAAAACUGUGAAGGAUGCAGUAAAUCAACAUGGCUGGCUAAAGAAUCCCUCUGCUACAAACGGCAUGGAUUUGACAUUUGGAUCCGUGGUUAAUGAUCAGAUACGGCAGGUCAGGGGCAGCCUGUGGGGGUGGAGGGGGGGGGAUGAUGAGGCCUGCAAAGGGUGGAGUCUUACUCACUCUCUCCGGUCAUCACUCCUUGAGUGUACCUCUUUGGAAGCAUCCCCAUGUAGCCGUAAAAACUUGACUGCUGAACUGGAAUGAAAAGAGGAGGAGAUGGAGGAGCAGUAGCACAGGGUGGUGCGGAGAGAAGCUUGUUCACCGACUGAGCACCGGCUCCCAGGCACGGUUACCUGUGCAUCCAAAGGCCACCACCCCCACCGCCACCAGGUUGAUGACAUAGGACUGCUUGUUGGUGAACUGCUCCAGCCAGACGUCACAGACACCCACAAACAGCAGCGGCCCAAGAGCAAACAGGCAGAUUGCCGGAACGGAGUCAGAGUCAAGGCGAGGCUGGGAUCGGGAAGGUCUGGCGCAUACGUUUGGAGGGACCGAUGGCUCCAUCAUGAUCCCACACUAUGAGAAACUAUGAGAACAGGAUUUUAAAGAGGUGAUAGACUAGGCAGAAGGUGGUGCCUUUGAUUUGCAAGGUGCCCAGCUGGCAAGGGGGGGGAGCGGGGGGG